GCUCUCCCAGCCCAUCACUGCUUUCUCUAUUUCCUCCACCGCCACACCAUCCCUCCUUCCUCUGCUUCCUCCACACCUGCAGACCACCUCCCUCACCAGUGAAGUAGCAGUGCAAGCACCAUGAGGUCCUCCACAUCAUCAUCAGCAGCAGGGUGCGCCUUGGCAGUGCUCAUGGUGGUGAUGCUGGCGCAGCAGGUGGAGGCCGGAGUCACAAUCAUUUUGGGAGGUGCAGAUAUUGGAUGAACCAAUAAAGCCAAUAUCGACUACGACCAAUGGCUGUCCAAUUACAAAGUCAAAAUCGGCGACACUGUCGAAUUUGGCAACAACGACUCCACUGACCACACUGUAGUGGUGGUGGACAAGGAAGGAUAUGACACUUGUGGAAAAUCAGGAGUCAAGUACGACACUACUACCGUCUCUCUUGGAUAUCUUCUCCAGAGAACCUAUAAGGAAUCCGGGGACUACUACAUCAUCUGCGACAUUUCCGCGCACUGCCUGCAGGGCCAGAAGGUGUACAUUCAGGUGCUCAACGAGGACGGUACCAUCAACACGACCGACACGCCCAAAGACCCAGAGCGCCCGAGCGCUGCGCCGCAUCAGAUGCCCGGAUUCACCUGGACUUCCAAGCUGGUGAUCGUGGUGGUGUCCGCUUUCUCCUUGAUGAUGGCUGCAGCUGCUUCCAUGUGAAGAAACUGAUCCGGGUCAGGUUUUGGUUAGUCAUUGUUCUUGUAGGUGCCGAGAAGAUUGCUUUGCAUUGAUACUGAUGUGAAAGGAGGGCGAAGGUAGUCUAUUUUUAGCUCAUUUGUUCUACCAUACCUGCAGUUCCUAUUCACUGGCAAGAUUUCUUCUAUAUAGUAAUUUUUGUCCCGCAUUGCUUCCAUGUGAAGAAACUGAUCAGUACAAGGUUUCGAACUGUCAUUAUCCUUGUGGCUAGGAUAUGUAGUCAAUGGGUAUAUACUGUGGCAUAGAGAAGAUUGAUCUCCAUUGAUGCAGAUUUAAUAUGAGGGUGAAGAUAGACUCCAUUUGUCUCCCUUGUUCCUAUUAUUUCUAUUUUAUAAAGCAGACGUUUUGUGUAGGUGCUUCCUCACACUGCUUGAGAAGUUUCCACACCUCAACUGAAAGAGAGUUUAACCUCUAA